GGCGGCCGUAACUAUAACGGUCCUAAGGUAGCGAAAUUCCUUGUCGGGUAAGUUCCGACCUGCACGAAUGGUGUAACGAUCUGGGUACUGUCUCAGCCACGAGCUCGGUGAAAUUGUAGUAGCGGUGAAGAUGCCGCUUACCCGCAACGGGACGGAAAGACCCCGUGAACCUUCACUAUAGCUUUACAUUGAUUCUGGGCAAGCGAUGUGUAGGAUAGGUGGGAGACUGCGAAGCGGGUCCGCCAGGAUUCGUGGAGUCAACGUUGAAAUACCACCCUUUGCUUGUCUAGGCUCUAACUCCGCGGUGCGGAGGACAGUGUAUGGUGGGUAGUUUGACUGGGGUGGUCGCCUCCAAAAGAGUAACGGAGGCUUUCAAAGGUUCCCUCAGCACGCUUGGUAACCGUGCGCAGAGUGCAAAGGCAGAAGGGAGCUUGACUGUGAGGCUGACAAGCCGAGCAGGUGGGAAACCAGGACUUAGUGAUCCGGCGGUUCCGCAUGGAAGGGCCGUCGCUCAAAGGAUAAAAGGUACUCCGGGGAUAACAGGCUGAUCACCCCCAAGAGCUCACAUCGACGGGGUGGUUUGGCACCUCGAUGUCGGCCCGUCACAUCCUGGGGCUGGAGAAGGUCCCAAGGGUUCGGCUGUUCGCCGAUUAAAGUGGCACGCGAGCUGGGUUCAGAACGUCGCGAGACAGUUCGGUCCCUAUCUGUUGUGGGCGUUUGAAGUUUGAGGGGCUCUGACUCUAGUACGAGAGGACCGAGUUGGACAGACCUCUAGUGUACCGGUUGUAACGCCAGUGGCACCGCCGGGUAGCUAUGUCUGGAACGGAUAAGCGCUGAAAGCAUCUAAGUGCGAAGCCGGCCCCAAGAUGAGACUUCGUUACAGGGUGGUCGAAGACUACGACCUUGAUAGGCCGCAGGUGUAAAGGCAGCGAUGUCAAAGCCGAGCGGUACUAAUUACCCGAAGACUUUCCGUU
rnacentral:rRNA from 1 species